rnacentral:lncRNA from 1 species
GCACCUCUAAAGUAAAAUGCAAAAGCAUCACGAAAGUGACAAUCUUUUAAAUAUAUUCAAAUAGCCGCACCUCUAACUAUAAUAUAUUCAAAUAGUAUAGCCACGCGGCUAGACUGGGUGAUAAUCUUUUAAUAUAUAUUGGCAUCCCUUUUUUUUUUUUCCCUAAUUUUUUUCCCCGAUUAUUUUCAUUUAUGAUAAGAUUAGUUUAGAGCAUUAUCCGAAUCUUUAUUGUCCCAUUUUGAUUUUUUACUUUUCCAGAGUUAUUACCAAUAUAAAGAAUUUAGCCUUUUCUCAUUUAAUACUCC